AAAACGGAUUCUUGUGUUUUCAUGUGGCAUCAACUCUAAAUAGAUUCUUUUGUAAUGGUGACCGCUCGUCCAAGUUCCAACUUUUUUGUUACAAAAAACCAAUACCUACUUCUAUUUCGUCAUGACAGAAGCUCGACUCCAUGGUGUUUCUGAGACUGAUGUCGACAUUUCAAUCGGUUCCUAUUCUGAUGUCGGCCCUGUCAUCUGACGGCAUAUUCCGACACCGACGGCAGCAGAUGGGUAUCAUGGACUGGAUCAAGUCUGAAUCUAUUCAUACGUUAUAAUUGUAUUUAGCACAAUGAAUGUACUUUCCAUCUGCUUAAUCUAGUUACGUUGAACCAUUUUAUUUUAUUGCAAAUAUCCUGGCUACCUACCUAUAGCUAAUCUGAAACGCUAACAUGAUAAAUAAAUCAAUGCAGCAGCUGAAAAUGAUUCAUAAUUUGCUUCCUCUAUAAACAAGUAUGACUGUCAUAUCUUCCCGUUUUGCUGUGUUCGUAGAGUUCGACGCACCUUUCAACGGUAUUCGUCUCGUUGCCAAUAACCCUUUUGUUUG